rnacentral:rRNA from 1 species
UCCUGAUGGCUCACAUGAAGUUUCGUGCCGUUCCGACCUCGUUUGAUACGGUUAUGGUUAACCACACGGCCCCUCGGGCCCGACCCGAGCCCAGUCAACGUUUUGACCCGAUCAAAUCGGCCCGUGACCCGAAACGACCCUACUUGGGCCCUACAACAGCCAUGUAAAGUUUCGGGAUGAUCCGACGUUCUUUCAUGGGGUUACGGACAAUCCACGCCAAACAAGCGUCACGGGCCGACCGAGCCGGGCCAACGGGCCCUCGGGACCCGAAAACUGAAUUUUUUUUCAUCCAAACCCAUUAAAACACGUUACCGAGGUCUCACGCAAAAUUUCAUGCCAAUCCGACGUCGUUUGAUGGGGUUUUGAGAUAUUAUGAUUCCUCAAAAAUUUAAUGUCUGUUCCUGUCACUUAGCUUUUUGUGCAAAAUGUAUAUAUAGGGGAGGGGUGGGUGUUGAGCAGCCCAUGCCCGGGCAAGGCAUGCCAGCGCCCAAGCCAAAGGAGGCUGGUGGCGUGCGUAUAACAGCUCAAAUGCCCCAACGAUGACCGAGAACAAGCGCCCAUCUCCCCUCCUUCCCCCCCACCAAGCGCCCCUCCCCCCCCCCAUGUUGCCUGCCCACUCGCACAGCUACUCGUGAUUUCAUGCCCAGCGACUAGUGAAUGUGCCUCGACGACCAGCAAACCUCGAAAAUUAUGAUUCCUCGUAAAAUUAAUGUCUGUUCCUGUCACUUUACUUUUUGUGCAAAAUGUAUAUAUAGGGGAGACCAGGGGCUUGAGCAACCCCUGUGCCCAAGCAAGGGUCAGAUGGAAGCACACGAGACGCGAGGUUUAAAGCCUAUACAAGCAAGGCGUCUGUCUCCCCAAGCCCCAUUGCCUAUAAAACAAGCCCGAUGCCUUGUAAAUGCCCCACACAAUGCCUAUAAACGACAACGAUGUUUGCUAGUUAAUCGAUCGACGCCCCACACCUUGCAGCAUGUUGCCUAGUAAACAAGCCAUGCUGCCUUGGAAGCGCCCCACAUCAUGGCAUGUUGCCUAGCACGCUGCCCUUGUUUCCAGCACGGCGACCUGAAAGCGUGGCCUGACGACGUGCUUGCCUUCGAAAAUUAUGAUUCCUCAAAAAAUUAAUGUCUGUUCCUGUCACUUUACUUUUUGU